AUGUGAUCGUCUCUCGCAUAUCAAUAAGCGGAGGAAAAGAAACUAACAAGGAUUCCCCUAGUAACGGCGAGUGAAGCGGGAAGAGCUCAAAUUUGAAAUCUUAAAGGGUUUCCCUUUACGAAUUGUAGUUUAAAGAAGUGUUUUCUGUUGAGGUUUUGGUAAAAGUUCUUUGGAAUAGGACAUCAUAGAGGGUGAGAAUCCCGUAUUUGACCUUUACUUUCAACUUUGUGAUACACUUUCAAAGAGUCGGAUUGUUUGGGAAUGCAGUCCAAAAUGGGUGGUAAAUUUCAUCUAAAGCUAAAUAUUGGCGAGAGACCGAUAGCGAACAAGUACCGUGAGGGAAAGAUGAAAAGAACUUUGAAAAGAGAGUUAAACAGUACGUGAAAUUGUCAAAAGGGAAGCGUUUGACACCAGUGUUGUUUUUCUGAAAAUCAAUUAAAGAACUGUUUAUGCUAAGUUGUUUAGACUUUAUCAGCUAACUGUUUAGUUUUGAGCUUUUCUUUAUGCACUUUUCAGUUAACAAGUCAACAUCAAUUUCUUUUGCUGUAAAAAAGCUUGAGGAAGGUGGCUUGAGAUUCGUCUUAGGUGUUUAUAGCCUCUUGCCUAUGCAGUCGGAGAGAUUGAGGUCUGCAGCGUAGAUCCUUCGGGGCUAAAUGCAUUUGUGCUAAGUUAUAGCAUUUUAUAGACAACUUGUUGACUAUGAUUUGUCUUGUAGCUUACUCGCUUAUGUUAUUUUACCUACGCUUAGGAUGUUGACACACGCGCGUGCUCGGCUCUAUACAUGACACUGUGCAUAUCAAUAAGCGGAGGAAAAGGCUGCGGAACUGAACGACCGGCUACCUACGCUUAGGAUGUUGACACACGCGCGUGCUCG
rnacentral:rRNA from 1 species